UCCGUUUUCAUCCCUUUCUUCUCCAAAACAACCAUUCAUGCAAUGACGCACAACUAGAAAACAAAAUCUAAUUGCAUGUUAAAACUGUGUGUGUGGAAGAAGCACGAUCUAUUUCCAAUUUCCAUCAACCCUCAGACAAACAAACGAACACGGUCUUUCUCUCUGUAUAUUUCAUUUCUCCGCGUGAUCAGAGAAAGAAAGGUCGAAUGGCGACGAGGUACUGGGUAGUGUCUCUCCCUGUUCCGAAUUCCGCAUCCACUCUGUGGAACAAAUUGCAGGAAGAAAUCUCCAAACACUCCUUCGACACCCCUCUUUACAGAUUCAACAUUCCUAAUCUCCGCGUCGGAACCCUAGACUCUCUCCUCUCUCUCAGCGACGAUCUCGUCAAGUCGAACAACUUCGUGGAGGGAGUGUCGCACAAGAUCAGGCGGCAGAUUGAUGAUCUGGAGAGAGUGUCGGGCGCGGUGACCAGUAGUUUGACGGUGGAUGGAGUACCUGUUGAUUCGUACUUGACGAGGUUUGCUUGGGAUGAAACCAGGUACCCGACUAUGUCGCCGUUGAAGGAGACUGUGGAUGGGAUUCAUGGUCAGGUGGCAAAGAUUGAGGAUGAUCUCAAGGUUCGUGUUUCUGAGUAUAACAAUAUCCGCAGUCAGCUUAAUACCAUCAAUAGAAAGCAAACUGGAAGCUUAGCUGUGCGUGAUAUUUCCAACUUGGUAAAACCUGAGGAUAUUAUAACAUCAGAAAAUUUAACUACCCUGCUUGCUAUUGUUCCAAAGUAUUCACAGAAGGAUUGGCUCUCAAGCUAUGAAACAUUGACCAACUAUGUGGUUCCCAGGUCUUCCAAGAAGUUGUAUGAAGAUAACGAAUAUGCUCUUUAUACUGUAACACUAUUCAGUCGUGUUGCAGACAAUUUUAGAACUAGUGCACGAGAAAAAGGGUUCCAAAUUCGUGAUUUCGAAUACAGUCCUGAAUCACACGAGAGUCGCAAGCAAGAGUUAGAGAAAUUGAUAGAUGACCAGGAAAGUUUGAGGUCCUCUCUGUUGCAGUGGUGUUAUACUAGUUAUGGAGAGGUUUUCAGCUCCUGGAUGCACUUUUGUGCAGUACGUGUGUUUACUGAGAGCAUUCUGAGAUAUGGUCUUCCACCAUCUUUCUUGGCAUGUGUUUUAGCUCCAUCAGUCAAAUCUGAGAAGAAAGUACGCUCUAUCCUUGAAGGGUUGAGCGACAGCACAAACAGUGGUUACUGGAAGACCGAGGAUGAUGGGGUUGGGAUGGCUGGUCUUGUAGCAGGUGAUGCUGAUGCCCACCCUUACGUCUCGUUCACUAUCAAUCUUGUUUGAGUGCAGCCAGAAACGAGCCCUUUCUUCUUUCAGGGUAUUUCUGAAAUGGACAACCUUAGUAAAGUUGGUCAACAUAGUCAUGGCAGGAAUAAGGAGGACUUACAAAGUAGAUUCACAACCUUCAUGAGGAACAAAUGAUUGGCAGAGGUUUUGAUGCUUGACCAUAAGGGUGGGGUUAUGUGCAAAGUGUUGAUUUCCAAGUCACGUAAUUCCACAAAGUUUGAAAAAUAUGGAAGAAAUUUCGCACACAAUAUGGGUUGAAGGAAGGAGAUGAUAUGGUAUUUGAGGUCCACAACAACAAAACUAAUAUUAUUGUUGAAGUUUAUAUUAAUGGAUGUUGUUGUCAUGUUGAGGAAAUUUUGGUGUGAACCAAAGACUUGGUCAUCAAUUUAUGUAAAUGUACUUAAGUAGUUUAUUAUAAAUAGAAGUCAAUUUAGGUUGAAGUGACAUUUUUUCAUUGUUGUAAUUGACAGAUAUUGAUUUUAGGAGGAGAUUGAGAAGGAUACCUAGAGAGGUUAAUACUCAGUGUUGUCUAAAGAUGUUUAUACUUAUGUACCUAGAGAGGUUGAAACUCUUGUAACAUAGAGAGGAUGAUACUUGUUACUGAUCAAAGUUGCUGAUUAGUGAAACUUCUUAAGUAGGUUGCUUAAGAGAAUGGACGAAGCUUUGGGUGUAGGUGAACUAGUAUAAAUCUAUUGUGUGAAUUUUAUC